UACGAAGGUGGCAAGCGUUGUUCGGAUUUACUGGGCGUACAGGGAGCGUAGGCGGUUGGAUAAGCCCUCCGUGAAAUCUCCAGGCUUAACCUGGAAAGUGCAGAGGGGACUGUUCAGCUAGAGGAUGGGAGAGGAGCGCGGAAUUCCCGGUGUAGCGGUGAAAUGCGUAGAUAUCUGGAGGAAUACCGGUGGCGAAGGCGGCAUCCUGGACCGACAUUGACGCUGAUGAGCGAAAGCUAGGGGAGCAAACGGG
rnacentral:rRNA from 1 species